rnacentral:rRNA from 1 species
CACGUAGGGUGCGCGCGUUGUCCGGAAUUAUUGGGCGUAAAGAGCUCGUAGGCGGUGUGUCGCGUCGGCCGUGAAAACCUGCAGCUUAACUGUGGGCUUGCGGUCGAUACGGGCAUCACUGGAGUUCGGCAGGGGAGACUGGAAUUCCUGGUGUAGCGGUGAAAUGCGCAGAUAUCAGGAGGAACACCGGUGGCGAAGGCGGGUCUCUGGGCCGAUACUGACGCUGAGGAGCGAAAGCGUGGGGAGCGAACAGG